UAUAUAAAGAAAUCUUCGGAUGGAAAUAUAUAUUUCUUAGCGGCGGACGGGUGAGUAACGCGUGAGGAACCUGCCUUGUACUAGGGGAUAGCCUCGGGAAACCGGGAUUAAUACCCUAUGAUACUUGAGGAUCGCAUGAUUUUCAAGUCAAAGCGAUUAAGCGGUAUAAGAUGGACUCGCGUCCCAUUAGCUAGUUGGUGAGGUAAUAGCUCACCAAGGCGACGAUGGGUAGCCGGCCUGAGAGGGUGAACGGCCACACUGGAACUGAGACACGGUCCAGACUCCUACGGGAGGCAGCAGUGGGGAAUAUUGCACAAUGGAGGGAACUCUGAUGCAGCGACGCCGCGUGAGCGAUGAAGGUUUUCGGAUCGUAAAGCUCUGUCCUAAGGGACGAUAAUGACGGUACCUUAGGAGGAAGCCCCGGCUAACUACGUGCCAGCAGCCGCGGUAAUACGUAGGGGGCGAGCGUUGUCCGGAUUUAUUGGGCGUAAAGGGUGCGUAGGCGGCCUUGUAAGUCAGAUGUGAAAUCUCACGGCUUAACCGUGGUAAGCAUUUGAAACUGUGAGGCUUGAGUACAGGAGAGGAGAGUGGAAUUCCUAGUGUAGCGGUGAAAUGCGUAGAUAUUAGGAGGAAUACCAGUGGCGAAGGCGACUCUCUGGACUGUAACUGACGCUGAGGCACGAAAGCGUGGGGAGCAAACAGGAUUAGAUACCCUGGUAGUCCACGCCGUAAACGAUGAGUGCUA
rnacentral:rRNA from 1 species